rnacentral:misc_RNA from 1 species
CAGAGUUCAUGCCCUCACGGGUAAAUCUCCCACCCUUGAAUAUUAUACCUUAGUUGCUUUGGCAGGCCGGGGCAACCCCCGGGGUUUCGGCCUUGGUGUGCCUGCCAGAGGAAACAAACUCUGUUUUUAGUGAUGUCUGAGUACUAUAUAAUAGUUA